AUUGAACGCUGGCGGCAUGCCUUACACAUGCAAGUCUAACGGUAACAGGUCUUCGGAUGCUGACGAGUGGCGAACGGGUGAGUAAUACAUCGGAACGUGCCCAGACGUGGGGGAUAACGAGGCGAAAGCUUUGCUAAUACCGCAUACGAUCUAAGGAUGAAAGCAGGGGACCGCAAGGCCUUGUGCGUUUGGAGCGGCCGAUGGCAGAUUAGGUAGUUGGUGGGAUAAAAGCUUACCAAGCCGACGAUCUGUAGCUGGUCUGAGAGGACGACCAGCCACACUGGGACUGAGACACGGCCCAGACUCCUACGGGAGGCAGCAGUGGGGAAUUUUGGACAAUGGGCGAAAGCCUGAUCCAGCAAUGCCGCGUGCAGGAUGAAGGCCUUCGGGUUGUAAACUGCUUUUGUACGGAACGAAAAGGCUCUGGCUAAUACCUGGGGCACAUGACGGUACCGUAAGAAUAAGCACCGGCUAACUACGUG
rnacentral:rRNA from 1 species